GGGUAACAUAAAUAGUAGGGCUAUGCGAAGCCGUGGGUGCUUAUUCGAUUCAGAGGAGUUUUGGCCUGAUUUAGUGGCCCAAUCUCCAAAUCCAAAUCAAAUCAAAAGACAAAUAAAAAGG